UCGGUGAGAUCUCCUUUCUUCACCGCUUCCAGCUGCGUCCCGAAUUCUUCUGCUCAUGUUUUCAUGGGUCGGAAUGACCUAGGGUGUGGGUACCGCGGCUCUGCCAUUUCCGGCGGUGGAGCUUCUGAUGUUCGAUUUGUUUCCCCUGUCCCUCCUUUCGCCGCUCUCGACCUUCCUUCGGUUCUGGCUCCCGGGGAGUAGUCGACGGCCGCCGGGCUCUCAAAACCCCGUCUUGCUAAUGCGAGGAAGAAGCGCGCAUCCUCCCGUGUGAGGAUGGAUGUGAUUUCGGACACUGAGGAUGAAACAGGGUUCAAUCACUUUCGUUACGGUGCGGCAGUUGCUGCAUCGGAUGCUCCCAGGUCGAAUGAGUUUGGAGGAACGCACAGGCAUCAGGAGAAGUUCAUUGGAUGGAAGCCAUUUCAUGCCAAAGAGGAGGAUAAAGUUUCAGAGAAUUCGGAAUCAGGUGAGUUUGAGUCUUUGAAGCAUGGAGUUGAUGCUGGUGGUUUUGUCUUUUGGAAUGGCACGAAGACAAGCUCCAGGUUGGAGCAGAGCACCGAAUAUUGUGCUUCGGAGUUGGAGCAUGGUGAUUUUGAGUCUAAUCCAACAUCCAGAAAUUUAGGAGCUGAGAAUACUGCAUUUAGCCAUGACAGAAGUGGUUGUGAUUCUGCUGCUGAUAUAUUCCUGCUUGGGAGGGAAUUGAAGGAAGACACUAGUUCCAUUCAAACUAUGCCAGUGGUCGAUCCAAAUUUUGGUAAUUUUGCAUCAACUAAAUCUGAAAGUUCUGGAUUUGAUUUUGGUGCUGGAUCGUCAGCAAAUUUCAAUUGGGAUAAUACUGGGGAGCUGAGUAAGAAGGGCACUUUGGAUACGUUUUCAUUAGUUGACAGCAAGGAGAAAAGUUUGAAACCUAAUUUGACUACUGAGAGUUUUGGCAAUCUAGAUUUUGGUAGUUGUCAGUUAGGGAAGUAUAAAAGUGUUCCAUUUGCCGGAGAGGUAAUUAAUAGUUUUAAAGUGAAAGACCUAAUAAACAAUCAAGUGAAACAUCUUCCUUUGUGGAUAGAACGCCCAUGCAUUCUGAUUCAAUAGGUCUGAGCACAGGUGAGACCUUGAAUUGUGGCAAGCUACUGAAUCCUGGGGUUCCAUUUGUAAAUAGUUUUGUACCUAGAAAGCUUAAAAACACCUUUGUUUUUGGGACAAAUUCAGCAAGCAAUUCAGAUUCAAAAGAUAGUGUUGCUAAGAGCAUUAGACAACCUGUAAAAAGUGAAAUUUGUGAUGAUUUUUCUUCCAUAUUUAAUAGGAGGGUGUGGAUUUGUUCUAAUUCAGUUGAUAGUUCUUUUAAAGCUUCUGAUAGUCCUUCAUUCUCUAGUCUUCAUGAUCAAAUGGAGAAGCUGAAUUUGCAAAAUUCUGAUGAUGCUAUUCUUUUUGAAAGGAUUAACCAAGGCAAAGAGGAUACUAGAUUAAAUUCUGCUAAUUUUUUCAUGUUUGGUAAUAGUAAUUCUGCUCCGAGCAGCUUUCAUGCUGAAUUAGAGAAGCUGAAUUUGCAAACUCCUGUUGAUAAUAUUAAUACAGAAAGGGGAAACCAAGCCGUUGAGAGUGCUAAACUUAAUUCUAUUAAUCCUUUCAUGUCCCAUGAGUCUGUUCCUAGUAGCUUUCAAAAUGUAAUGGAGAAGUUGAAUUUGCAAAGUUCUGGUGAUGAUUUUGCUUCUCAAAAGAGAAACCAAGAUGAUGACAACACCAAACAUGAUCUGUUGAUGUUUUGUGUUUGGUGAAUGUUUUCCUAGUAAUCUUCAUGAUGAAAUGGAGAAGAUGAAUUUGCAAGAUUCAGGUGAUGAUAUAUCUUCCGAAAUGAGAAACCAAGCCGAUGAGAGUACAAAACACAAGAUGGCUAGUUCUUUUGGGUUUGUUAAUGACAAGUCUUCUUAGACUUCCUCUGGCUGUAGUCCUGUAAAUCCAUCAACUGAGAAGGAUAAUAAAGUGGAGAUUCAGAGAGAGCUAGAAUCAGAUAAUGUCAGGACUGUCUUCAAUUUCACAGGUAUGCCCGAGCAAGCAGGAAUUACACACACAGAAUUUAGAAGUUCAAAAACUACAGAAGACCUAUUGAAGGAGAGUUUAUUUUCUGGACGAUGUCAAACUAUGCCAUUCAUUGGAAGGAAGGCUGAUUGUAAAGAUUUCAGAAUGAGAAAAAGAAAUAGUAAACUAAAAAAUAUCAUUCUACCACAUCAAACCUUUGCUCAAACAAUUUCCUCCAUUGAAGAAGUGUUUGAAAAUAAAUAUCCAGAUUCUGUUGAUUGCUGCUUAUCGAUGGAUUAUUCUCCUUAUCAAGAGAACUUAGUUGCUGUGUCAAGUUAAGAGAAGAUUCAGUACCAUCAGGUAAAUCCAAACAUGCUGCCUCAACCUAGGCAUCUAUCGAUACACAAAAAUCAAUCCGUUUAGAUGAAACUGAAUGCCUUAUUUCUACCACACAAAACUUGAAUAACACUGGAGAUAAUCCAACACAUGGUGAACUAAAUCAAAAUGAUUCCGUAGAUUAUUUAGACAGAGAAUUUGGUCUCAAAUAUUCAGAAAAAUUUGUUCCAAAGUCUGAAAUUGAGGAUGUUGCUUGUGGAAGUAGCAUUGCUGCAACAGAAAUUGAACCUCUAGGUGCUAGUCAGGGAGGAACAUGAUUUACUUCAAUUCUUCAGUAGAAGACUUUGAUGGUGAAAAUUUUAUGUUUGGUGCAUCAUCUUUUGAUUCAAAGUCCAUUGUCAGCAUCAAAGUAUCAACACCGAAAGAAAAACAAGAUGAAAGUUGUUCAUGAGAUUUUAAAUCCUAUUUCAAAUUUUGCUCCCAUGGAUUCAUCAAUGAAUAUUCUUCAAAUUCCCAGCAAGUCAAUGCAACCAAACCGUGCAAGAGGAAAAAAAAAUGUGAGCAAUACUGGAGAUGGCACAAAUACCAGCCUGGAGGUCAAGAAAGAGUUCAUUAUUUCUGACCCUGGAAGAGUAGCAGAACAGGAAGCUUGUGAAAAGUGGAGACUUAGGGGUAAUCAAGCUUAUGCAGAAGGACAUCUUCUUGAAGCCGAAGAGUACUAUACACGAGGGCUGAACUCUAUCUUUUAGAAAGAAAAUAAUCAAAGCUGAAAUCAAGCAUUGAUGUUGUGCUAUAGUAAUCGUUCAGCUGCACGAAUUUCCCUUGGAAGAAUGAGAGAUGCUCUUAAUGACUGUAUGCUAGCUAUUGCAAUAGAUUCCAGCUUCCUCCGGGCUCAAGUCAGGGUUGCAAGUUGCCAUCUCACACUGGGUGAAGUUGAUGAAGCAAUAAAAUUUUUUAAUGACUGCUUGCUCUCAAAACAUGAUGGGAAUCUGGAUGAAAAAAUAUUGACAGUCUUCUGAUGGACUUCAGAAAGCUCAGAUUGCCUCAAUAACGGUUAAACCAGUAAGGACCUGCAGGAUCAGAAAGAUUUUGUGAUAUCUUUUGAGAAAAUGCAAGUGGCUGAUCGCAUGAGCCAGGUUGAGGAGCUUUUACUCAAAAGGACAUCUAAUGGACUGAUAAAGGCGUUACAACUGAUCUCUGAGUCCUUAGUAAUAAGUGCACAUUCAGAAAAAUUAAUGGCAAUGAAAGCUGAGGCUCUUAUGCUCCAAAGGUAUGAAGAAGUAAUCAACUUCAGUGAGCAGACUAUGGGACAUGCCGAAGUUAAUGCUUUAUCUUCUGGAGCCAAUUUACAGCCAAACAAAGAAGGUAACUCUGUAAAUCUCCAAAUUUUCCCCCUAUAUUGCUGGCGUUGGCUCCUGAAGGCAAGGGCUAACUUCUAUUUAGGAAAACUAGAUCAAGCAUUUGAAUUGCAGAAGAAGCUUGAAUAAGGGAAAAGUAUAGUGGACAAGUACUGUUAAAUUUCACUAUAUUUUCUCAGAAUUUAACAGGAUAAUGUUGUUUCUUCAAAUAUGUUCUUACAAAUAUUUUAUUUACCUAGGGAUAGCAGCAACUCAGACUCUUCCACAUCACUGUAUGCCUCUGUAUGUGAGCUGUUACGCCUUAAAGUAAGCCAUUUAUUUUCUUUUUGGCAUUAUGCUUAGUAGAACUAUUUUAAAAAAUUUAUGUAACAUGAUUUAUACUUCAGGCACCUAAGCAUACCUUUGGCCUUUCUUUUCUGUAAUCUCAGAACAUUUGGUAACAUUAAGUUCAGAUCAGCUCCACUUUGUUAGGGCAAACCCUAUGUGGCUUUU